rnacentral:rRNA from 1 species
UACGUAGGUGGCAAGCGUUACUCGGAAUCACUAGGCGUAAAGCGCAGGUAGGCGGCUCGGUAAGUCUCUUGUGAAAGCUCCCGGCUCAACUGGGAGAGGUCAAGGGAAACUACCGGGCUAGAGUAUGGUAGAGGAGACUGGAAUCCCCGGUGUAGCGGUGAAAUGCGUAGAUAUCGGGAGGAAUACCUAUGGCGAAAGCAGGUCUCUGGGCCAUCACUGACGCUGAGCUGCGAAAGCUAGGGGAGCAAACAGG